UGUGCAUGAUUAACUAAAACAGCCUGUUGACGGCUUAAAAUAAACCUGCCUUUUCCAUUUAGCAUUUUAUCAAAUGAAUAUAAUUUCAUUUGCUGAUGAAUUUAGUUCAGCUUCAAGAGAAUUUUUCUUUUCUUCAUGGGGAGGCUGAAGAAUCAGAACUGUCAUACCAAAGAAUGAAAAGCAAGCCUAGGGAGAACAAGACAGUCUGAUGUUUACAUGGACCUUUUCGUCCAAGAAAGUCUUACCAGGAGGCUCAAUGUGAACAAGAGAUUAAAAACAGAGCUGCUCUGCUGGAGGUGGGGUGGGGAGCCUGAAGACUUCUUCAUCUGCCUCUCACCACAUCCCCCCUCCUGGCACCUGAAGAAUUCUGCAGAGACCAGUUUCCAAGGGCUGUGUGGGCAGAGUGUGCAUGUUCAGGCAUGCAUGCCUGUUUGCAGAUGGUAUGGAGAAAAAGGGUUAACUUAUUUGAUCAGUGAAAUCAGAAAAGGAUCAUUCUGCAUUCGUGGACUACUCUCAUUGACACACUCGCUUACCCAUCUGAAAACAGCGUGAGUUCUGUGUGGAAACCUCCCUGAAUCAUACAAUGAACACAGUCUGGGUUCCUGAUUUGUAUCUGUUACCCUUCAUGGAAAUGGCUGGUGAAGCAAAACUAUGUGUGUAAAACUGCAUCUGCCACAGGCUGCUUGUCCACAAAAGCAGCAAAGCAUCUCUAUGGAAUACCUCCGUAUGGAUCUGUAAAGAAGAGUCCCACUUCAGUCAAAGACAGUAGAUUAUGAGAUUAAAGAAGACUGAAGAGAUAUGAAAACUAAAUGCAAUUCAUGAUCUUGUACCAGAGGGAAGAAAAUUCUAUCAAGAACAAUAUUGUAUCAACUGACAAAAUCAUAAUAUGAAUGACAGAUCAGAUAAAUGUGUUGUGUCAAAGUUAAAUUUCCUGAAGUUGAAAACUACAUUAGAAUACAGUCUAAGAGAAUGUCCUAGUUUGGGGAAAUAUACAUACAACUAUUUAAAGGUAUGGGCAUGACACAACUCACUCACAAAUAGUUCUUUAGCUAUUCUUGCCACUUUAACUUUGAAACUACUUCCAAAUGAAAAAAUUAAAAAUUUUAAAAUAUGUAAGAACACCACAAGUAUAGUAACUUUAGUAAGUGGCAUCUGAAUUCUACUUCAUCAGAAUUUUCUGAAUGCAACUUGUCCUUAUUCCCUAACCCUAAAUAGCAAAUGACUUAGAGUGUUCAAUUUUUUUCUUUCCUUAAUAACAUUAUUCAAAUGUGUAUGGCUCCUGAUAAGCCAUCCCCUACCACUGUAUCCACCUUUCUUUGUUCUACCUAAGCAAUUCACAGUUAAGCUGGAAGAUAUUAGAAGACGCUCACUCUUUCUUUCUCAAGGGAUGCUGACUUGUCACAUGCUUAAACAAACUCUUUU
rnacentral:lncRNA from 1 species